GCCCACGUAGUUCAAUGGAUAGAAUAGCUCACUCCUAACGAGCUGAUUCAGGUUCGACUCCUGACGAGGGCA
rnacentral:tRNA from 1 species